AGGAGAGCAUUCUCUUCAUCCUAUGUCAAAUUUAUGCCAGUUACUACUUAAAUCGAUUGAUUAAUCCCAUGCCAGUAACAUGAAGCACAAGCAAGCAAUAUAAAGAGCAGAACAAGCCAGCAAAUGAUAAGACAUAAUAUUUAGGUCCAAACUCUAAUUAGAAAAAAGUUUUAUUUUAGAAGCAGCACACACUACAGUUUUUGCAAUAAUGGAAGACAAUUAUAAAGGUGAAACUUUCUUCCAUAGUAACAAUUCUGCAUCUUCAUUGAAAACAUUCGUAAUACAAGUUUAUAAUGUGGUGAAGCUCUGUUAGCAUUUUGAGAAACCCAAGCUCAGCCUAACAGGUCAAGGGUUCAAACUGGUCCAAAUGUCCAGUCUGAUUGAAGAAGCACGAUGAAAUAGCAUAAGAAAGCUCAGGAAUAUAGGGACAAAAAAAAAAAAUGAAUCGCAUCAUACAAAUUAGCAUUCGCCACCAACUAUUAAAAGCAGGCAAGAACAAAA
rnacentral:misc_RNA from 1 species